rnacentral:rRNA from 1 species
GAUGAACGCUGGCGGCGUGCCUAAUACAUGCAAGUCGAGCGAAUGGAUUAAGAGCUUGCUCUUAUGAAGUUAGCGGCGGACGGGUGAGUAACACGUGGGUAACCUGCCCAUAAGACUGGGAUAACUCCGGGAAACCGGGGCUAAUACCGGAUAACAUUUUGAACCGCAUGGUUCGAAAUUGAAAGGCGGCUUCGGCUGUCACUUAUGGAUGGACCCGCGUCGCAUUAGCUAGUUGGUGAGGUAACGGCGCACCAAGGCAACGAUGCGUAGCCGACCUGAGAGGGUGAGCGGCCACACUGGGACUGAGACACGGCCAAGACGCCCACGGGAGGCAGCAGUAGGGAAGCUUCCGCAAUGGACGAAAGUCUGACGGAGCAACGCCGCGUGAGUGAUGAAGGCUUUCGGGUCGUAAAACUCUGUUGUUAGGGAAGAACAAGUGCUAGUUGAAUAAGCUGACACCUUGACGGUACCUAACCAGAAAGCCACGGCUAACUACGUGCCAGCCGCCGCCGUAA